AUUGAACGCUGGCGGCAGGCCUAACACAUGCAAGUCGAACGCGUGGCGGACGGGUGAGUAAUGUCUGGGAAACUGCCCGAUGGAGGGGGAUCACUACUGGAAACGGUAGCUAAUACCGCAUACCAUCGUCUGUUCCCCGAUGGGAUUAGCUAGUAGGUGGGGUAACGGCUCACCUAGGCGCCGCUCCCUAGCUGGUCUGAGCGGAUGACCAGCCACACGGGAAUGGAUACACGGGCCAGACUCCAACGUGAGGCAGCAGUGGGGAAUAGUGCACAAUGGGAGCAAGCCUGAUGCAGCCAUACCGCGUGUAUGAAGAAGGCCGUCGGGUUUGAAAGUACUUUCAGCGAGGAGGCGUUACUCGCAGAAGAAGCACCGGCUAACUCUGUGCCAGCAGCCGCGGUAAUAC
rnacentral:rRNA from 1 species